GUGACAGCCGCCGCGGUAAUACGGAGGGUGCAAGCGUUGUCCAGAUUUAUUGGGUUUAAAGGGUGCGUAGGUGGCCUUUUAAGUCAGCUUUGAAAGCUGGUCGCUUAACGAUCAGGGGUGGGUUGAUACUGGAAGGCUUGGAUCAGGUGGCGGUUUCUGGAACGGGUCGUGUAGCGGUGAAAUGCAUAGAUAUGACCCAGAACUCCGAUUGCGAAGGCAGGAGGCUACGCCUGUAUUGACACUGAGGCACGAGAGCAUGGGGAGCAAACAGGAUUAGAAACCCUUGUAGUCC
rnacentral:rRNA from 1 species